AAUGUUUAUUAAUAUUUAUUUAUACGAAAGAGAACAGUAUGCUGCUGUUGUUAUUGUUGUUUUUAUUUCUUUUUAUCUUAUUUUUUAAUAAAUUUUUGUAUAUAAAUAUAAUAGAAUAUAUAGAGGAAAAAUCAUUGCUUAUGCAAAACUCGCUUUUUCCAUUUCGUCGAAAGCAAUGAAAAAUUUGUUCCUGAACUGGAAAAGGCCAGAAUGGCCACACGCUACUUAGGAAAAUCACGGGUAUCUGGAAAGUGGAGAACGAUUUAUCACCUGAAUCAAUUCAAUCGCAUCUUCGGAAAGUCAAGCACUAUUAUGCAGGAUGUCACGUACACUUAAAUUGAUGAAGUACUCAGGCUUAUCGAUAGAUGGUAUUCAAAGUCCAAUUGAUCGAUCUCUAUGUAUAAAAAGUUAAAUAAGAAAUAACUUUAAAAUAAUAAAACGAUGGAAUCAACAAAUUGUAACUUUUCGAUGGCCGCUAUCUGUAAUAUUUGUAAUUAAAAAAUUUAUCAUUUUAUAUAUAUAUAUAUAUAUAUAUAUAUAUAUCAAGAUAUUGAUUAAUAGUGAUUUAUUUAAAAUAAUUGUAACAUUGAAGUUCGAUAUCGAACAAAUAAACAUUGACAUUAAAACGAUAAGAAGAAAUAUUAUAUCUAAAAGACGAUAAACAAAAUACUUAACUUUUGCUUAUACGUUGAUGUUUAGUGACGAAAUUAAAAAAGGAAAUAAUUUUGAAAUUAAUUCCCGGGUGAAUCAUAUCUCUGUAGGAAGAUAAAAAUGAAUGAUCUUUAGAUCUGUAUGAUAUUGUAUUCGUUAUACGAUCUUUGUUUACAACAUUGUAUAAGAUAUCUAGAUAAAACAAUGAUUUUAAUACACGUACAAUAUACGUCAUUUUUUAUCAUUUUACGAUAGCGAGUGCAAACGAUUUUUCGUUUCUAUAAAUUUAAAGAAUCUAGAGAUAGUGUUCGUUGAACGUGACGCACAAUACCGUCGUUCACUUUUCCUUAUUCGUGAUUUCUGACGACACACACACACAGAUAUAUAUAUUAUAUAAAUUAUAUAUAUAUAUAUAUAUAUAUAUAUAUAUAUAUAUAUAUAUAUAUAUAAUUUGUCGCUAGGAAAAAAAGUAUAAAGAGCAUCUGUGAAAGAGAUAUACACCGUACAAAGUACUAUAAAAUACGCUUACAAAUAGUCCGAUUAAUUAUUACACUUGUAAUAUUGUUAAAAAAAAAAAAAAAAAAAAAAAAAAAAAAAUGAAACGAAAAAGUAAGAAGUUGACAAUUCGAUCGUAUUAUACCCUAUCGUAUCAUAAAUCCAACGAAUCUUUGGCUAAUAUCUAAAAGAAGAUCGAUCGAUAAUCUAAAUCGAUAUCUAUUCACGAAUUUAUACAAUACAAUCAUAUAUGUACAUUGUUAAAAAUGUUUGUGCUAUGUAAUCGUCCCUAAAUAACUUCACGAAAUAUGGUUUAGUCGAAUGACAAAAAAAAAAAAGAAAAAAAAAAGAAAAAAACAAAAUAGAACAAAAAAUAAGAAAAAAAAAAAAAAAAAGGAAUGA